rnacentral:rRNA from 1 species
CCUAGGGGAGGCAGCAGUGAGGAAUAUUGGUCAAUGGGCGGAAGUCUGAACCAGCCAAGUAGCGUGCAGGAUGACGGCCCUAUGGGUUGUAAACUGCUUUUAUACAGGAAUAAAGUUAGCCACGUGUGGUUAUUUGUAGGUACUGUAUGAAUAAGGACCGGCUAAUUCCGUGCCAGCAGCCGCGGUAAC